UAAUAAGUGUUUAUGGCACUUCUUAAAUCCAUAUCCACCUUGUGUGCAAUGUCAGCCGUUUUCUUUAUGAAAGUGGCCAAACAUCAACUUAUUUUUUAACUGUCUGUCUGAAAACUAUUAUGAAUAAACAAUUCAAAUA
rnacentral:misc_RNA from 1 species